rfam:Fervidicola ferrireducens strain Y170 AN618_contig000060, whole genome shotgun sequence.
UAACCCAUGCUGGAAGGCAUGGCUGAACCGUCAGGAGUCAGCAGAGGGCAUAGUACCUAGGAGGUCAUGAACUUCGAGGGAAGGCC